rnacentral:rRNA from 1 species
AUUCUAGUGGCGGACGGGUGAGUAACGCGUGGGUAACCUGCCUUAUACAGGGGGAUAACAGUCAGAAAUGGCUGCUAAUACCGCAUAAGCGCACAGAGCUGCAUGGCUCAGUGUGAAAAACUCCGGUGGUAUAAGAUGGACCCGCGUUGGAUUAGCUAGUUGGUGGGGUAACGGCCCACCAAGGCGACGAUCCAUAGCCGGCCUGAGAGGGUGAACGGCCACAUUGGGACUGAGACACGGCCCAGACUCCUACGGGAGGCAGCAGUGGGGAAUAUUGCACAAUGGGGGAAACCCUGAUGCAGCGACGCCGCGUGAAGGAAGAAGUAUCUCGGUAUGUAAACUUCUAUCAGCAGGGAAGAUAGUGACGGUACCUGACUAAGAAGCCCCGGCUAACUACGUGCCAGCAGCCGCGGUAAUACGUAGGGGGCAAGCGUUAUCCGGAUUUACUGGGUGUAAAGGGAGCGUAGACGGUGUGGCAAGUCUGAUGUGAAAGGCAUGGGCUCAACCUGUGGACUGCACUGGAAACUGUCAUACUUGAGUGCCGGAGGGGUAAGCGGAAUUCCUAGUGUAGCGGUGAAAUGCGUAGAUAUUAGGAGGA